rnacentral:rRNA from 1 species
UGAGGAAUAUUGGUCAAUGGGCGAGAGCCUGAACCAGCCAAGUCGCGUGAGGGACGACGGCCCUACGGUUGUAAACCUCUUUUGCCGGGGGACAAACGGCGGCACGCGUGCCGUCCUGAGGGUACCCGGAGAAAAAGCAUCGGCUAACUCCGUGCC